rnacentral:rRNA from 1 species
CAAAACAUGGCUUCUUGAUUUUUAUAGAUAAGGGGUCUGGCCUGCCCGGUGGUUUGUUCUAAACGGUCGCAGCUACCACUGUGCGAAGGUAGCGUAAUAGGUCGUCCUUUAAUUGAGGGAGAGUAUGAAUGGUCGGAUAUUGGAAAUUCUUUAUUAAAAGUAUUUUUUGAAAUUUACCUUUUAGUGCAAAGGCUAAAAUAAUUUUAUUAGACGAGAAGACCCUGUUGAGCUUAGUAUACAUAGUUCUAUUUAGUGCUGUAGGUAUUUUUAUUCGGGGUUGAAUGGAAGGGAUGUAUGCCUUCCGUUAUAAAAUAGAGAUCCAGUAAGAUUGAUAAGCAGAAGAUAGCUACCACAGGGAUAACAGCGCAAUCAUUUUGUUAAGGCCAUAUUUAAAAAGUGGUUUGCGACCUCGAUGUUGAAUCAGAAUUUCUACUAGGUGUAGCAGCUUUGUAAGUGGGACUGUUCGUCCUUUAAAAUUCUACGUGAUCUGA